UCACACCUGUUCCCAUACCGAACACAGAAGUUAAGCCCUUCAGCGCUGAUGGUACUUGGUGGGUAACUGCCUGGGAGAGUAGGUCGUUGCUGGUU
rnacentral:rRNA from 1 species